CCUUAGAGUUUGAUCCUGGCUCAGAGCGAACGCUGGCGGCAGGCUUAACACAUGCAAGUCGAGCGGGCGUAGCAAUACGUCAGCGGCAGACGGGUGAGUAACGCGUGGGAACGUACCUUUUGGUUCGGAACAACACAGGGAAACUUGUGCUAAUACCGGAUAAGCCCUUACGGGGAAAGAUUUAUCGCCGAAAGAUCGGCCCGCGUCUGAUUAGCUAGUUGGUGAGGUAACGGCUCACCAAGGCGACGAUCAGUAGCUGGUCUGAGAGGAUGAUCAGCCACAUUGGGACUGAGACACGGCCCAAACUCCUACGGGAGGCAGCAGUGGGGAAUAUUGGACAAUGGGGGCAACCCUGAUCCAGCCAUGCCGCGUGAGUGAUGAAGGCCCUAGGGUUGUAAAGCUCUUUUGUGCGGGAAGAUAAUGACGGUACCGCAAGAAUAAGCCCCGGCUAACUUCGUGCCAGCAGCCGCGGUAAUACGAAGGGGGCUAGCGUUGCUCGGAAUCACUGGGCGUAAAGGGUGCGUAGGCGGAUCUUUAAGUCAGAGGUGAAAGCCUGGAGCUCAACUCCAGAACUGCCUUUGAUACUGGGGAUCUUGAGUUCGGGAGAGGUGAGUGGAACUGCGAGUGUAGAGGUGAAAUUCGUAGAUAUUCGCAAGAACACCAGUGGCGAAGGCGGCUCACUGGCCCGAUACUGACGCUGAGGCACGAAAGCGUGGGGAGCAAACAGGAUUAGAUACCCUGGUAGUCCACGCCGUAAACGAUGA
rnacentral:rRNA from 1 species